UUCAUUAUCAAUCUAAACUAACUCAUAAAUCAAGGAAACAUAAAAUUCUUGAAAAUUCAUAACUUGAGGACAAGUUAUGAACUCCAUACAAUUUUCAACAAGAUCAUGAAUUAUAUCAACAAACAAUUUGCACACAAUUCCUAUGAUCUAGCAAAACUCAUAAGCAUGAUCAUUCAUAAUCAACAAUUUUCAAGAAUAACAUGAACACAUAUAAACUUGAAACUUUUAUUAUAGCAUUGAAAUUGGUUUAACAUAAUCAUUACCACAUUCAAAACAAGUUUUAUAAGCCCAAAACAGUCAAAGGUAAUGAUUCUAGACCAAUUCCAGCACCAAAACUCGAAAAUAUGCUGUCUGGGGGUCCAACUCGUCGAGUGCAUGAACAAACUCGGCGAGUUGGAUGCAUUUUUCCUUGGACUCGUCCAGUCCCUUCAUGGAGUCGGCGAGUCUGCUGGGCAGACAGCACCAAAAGUCGAUUUUUAAGCAGUUUAAGCAAGUACAAGAAGAAAACAAGCCUAGGCUCAANAUCAACAAUUUUCAAGAAUAACAUGAACACAUAUAAACUUGAAACUUCUAUUAUAUCAUUGAAAUUAGUUUAACAUAAUUAUUACCACAUUCAAAACAAGUUUUAUAUGCC
rnacentral:lncRNA from 1 species